CCACACCUAAAAAACUUUCACGUGAACCGUUUCACCCAAUAGUUGGGGGUCUUAUUUGGCGGCCGCUGCUGGCUUAAUUGUUGGCGGCUGCUGCUGAAUGAGCCCUAUCAAAAAAAAGGCGAACGUUUGGGCUUCGGCCUGAUUUAGUAGUCUUUUUUUCUUUUAAACCCAUUCCUUAAUACUGAAUAUACUGUGGGGACGAAAGUCUCUGCUUUUAACUAGAUAGCAACUUUCAGCAGUGGAUGUCUAGGCUCGCACAUCGAUGAAGAACGCUGCGAACUGCGAUACGUAAUGCGAAUUGCAGGAUUCAGUGAGUCAUCGAAAUUUUGAACGCAUAUUGCACUUCCGGGUUAGUCCUGGAAGUAUGCCUGUAUCAGUGUCCGUACAUUAAACUUGACUUUCUUCCUUCCGUGUAGUCGGUGGAGGAGAUGUCAGAUGUGAAGUGUCUUGCGAUUGGUCUUCGGACCGGCUGCGAGUCCUUUUAAAUGUACUAAACUGAACUUCUCUUUGCUCGAAAAGUGGUGGCGUUGCUGGUUGUGAAGGCUGCUAUUGUGGCAAAUUGGCGACUGGUUUGUCUGCUGCGGCAUUAAUGGAAGAGUGUUCGAUUCGUGGUAUGGUUGGCUUCGGCUGAACAAUGCACUUAUUGGACGUUUUUCCUGCUGUGGCGUGAUGGACUGGUGAACCAUAGCUCGGUGGCUUGGCUUUUGAAUUGGCUUUGACUGUUGCGAAGUAGGGUGGCAGCUUCGGUUGUCGAGGGGGCGAUCCAUUUGGGAACUUAAUGUGUACUUCGGUAUGCAUCUCAA
rnacentral:rRNA from 1 species